rnacentral:rRNA from 1 species
UAACUGGAGAGUUUGAUCCUGGCUCAGAGUAAACGCUGGCGGCGUGCCUAACACAUGCAAGUCGAACGCGUUCCGGGGGGCAACUCCCGGGAUGAGUGGCGAACGGGUGAGUAACACGUGGGUCAUCUCCCCCCGAGUGGGGAAUAAGCUCGCGAAAGUGAGUCUAAUACCUCAUGACAUUCCGGGACAUAAGUUCCGGAAUCAAAGCCGAAAGGCGCUUGGGGAUGAGCCUGCGUCCUAUUAGCUAGUUGGUAGGGUAACGGCCUACCAAGGUGAUGAUGGGUAGCCGGCCUGAGAGGGUGUCCGGCCACACUGGGACUGCGACACGGCCCAGACUCCUACGGGAGGCAGCAGUGGGGAAUAUUGCGCAAUGGGCGAAAGCCUGACGCAGCGACGCCGCGUGGAGGAU